rnacentral:rRNA from 1 species
AGAGUUUGAUCAUGGCUCAGGAUGAACGCUGGCGGCGUGCCUAACACAUGCAAGUCGAGCGAUCUUCUUCGGAAGAGAGCGGCGGACGGGUGAGUAACGCGUGGGUAACCUGCCUCAUACACAUGGAUAACAUACCGAAAGGUAUGCUAAUACAAGAUGAUAUAAGAGAUUCGCAUGGAUUUCUUAUCAAAGCUCCGGCGGUAUGAGAUGGACCCGCGUCUGAUUAGCUAGUUGGUAAGGUAACGGCUUACCAAGGCGACGAUCAGUAGCCGACCUGAGAGGGUGAUCGGCCACAUUGGAACUGAGACACGGUCCAAACUCCUACGGGAGGCAGCAGUGGGGAAUAUUGCACAAUGGGCGAAAGCCUGAUGCAGCAACGCCGCGUGAGCGAUGAAGGCCUUCGGGUCGUAAAGCUCUGUCCUCAAGGAAGAUAAUGACGGUACUUGAGGAGGAAGCCCCGGCUAACUACGUGCCAGCAGCCGCGGUAAUACGUAGGGGGCUAGCGUUAUCCGGAUUUACUGGGCGUAAAGGGUGCGUAGGUGGUUUCUUAAGUCAGGAGUGAAAGGCUACGGCUCAACCGUAGUAAGCUCUUGAAACUGGGAAACUUGAGUGCAGGAGAGGAAAGUGGAAUUCCUAGUGUAGCGGUGAAAUGCGUAGAUAUUAGGAGGAACACCAGUAGCGAAGGCGGCUUUCUGGACUGUAACUGACACUGAGGCACGAAAGCGUGGGGAGCAAACAGGAUUAGAUACCCUGGUAGUCCACGCCGUAAACGAUGAGUACUAGGUGUCGGGGGUUCACCCCCCUCGGUGCCGCAGCU